GUACGCACUUGCACGGUCCCUCGGCACAGACCUCCCAGUCCUCCUCUUUCAAGCCGAUCUGCCAAACUGCAGGCAAGAAACUCUGUAGCGAAUGUUCAGAUUCAGAAAAGAAAAACAUUAACGAAGACCAAGCUAUGCCAGAAGAAUCUAUAAAAGUUGAGAAUUUGCCUUCACCGUCAUCUUCGCCUCCAAUUACUUCUACACAUCCCAAAAUUUUGGAAGAAUCUAUAACAGUUGAGAAUUUGUCUUCAGAAUCAUCUUCAUGUCCAACCGAUGUUUAUCACAAUUACAUUUAGGAAGAAUACGAUAUAAAAUCUGAAGGUUCCCCUUCACCUUUAGAUGAUAAAUCUUCAGAAGUCCCAGUACUCGCGGUGCAGAUAUGCGAGACGAGCGAGUGUGUGCUCGUCUCGCAUAAUGAAAGGAAGACGAU